AUGAACGUAACACGUGGCUUGAAUAUCGGAUGAAUCCUGUCUGGCAUGUCAUACGAGGGAUUUGUAAUCCUGGACGGGAACAACAUAUCCUGCCCUCCUAAGGUGUUGCAGGUGGAUAUUUUCACCAGAGGGACACGCUGACCUGCUACACCGGUUCAUUGUGUGAACACAUCCGAACAAGGCUGGCGUGGUACUGACAGACCCAGAUGGGCUAACAACAUGUCCGACAGACUCGAGCCAUGGGCAUGGGUGGUGGUAGUGGCGUCGCUUUGUGCUCUUUUCCUCAACACGAGCCUAUCCAGUAUUGCUGGCGUCAUGCACGUGGCGCUUCUCGAGACGUUUCAAGAUGACGUCACACUGACGUCAUGGGUUGGCUCUCUCUACUCCUGCAUGUUUGCCCUUUCAGGUCCCGUGGCCAGCUUCAUCAUCAACAGAUGGAACUGUCGGUGUUGUGUCAUAGUAAGCGGUGUGUUUGGCCUCGUUGGGUUUGCUUCC